UACAGAGGGUGCGAGCGUUAAUCGGAUUACUGGGCGUAAAGCGUGCGUAGACGGUAGCGUAAGUCAGAUGUGAAAGCCCCGGGCUCAACCUGGGAAUUGCAUUUGAGACUGCUCUGCUCGGGUGCGGAAGAGGGAAGCGGAAUUUCCGGUGUAGCGGUGAAAUGCGCAGAUAUCAGGAGGAACACCAAUGGCGAAGGCAGCUCGCUGGGACGGUACUGACGCUGAGACGGCGAAAGCGUGGGGAGCAAACAGG
rnacentral:rRNA from 1 species